UACGUAGGUGGCAAGCGUUGUCCGGAAUCACUGGGCGUAAAGGGCGCGUAGGCGGCUUUGUAAGUCGGGGGUGAAAGCCUGUGGCUCAACCACAGAAUUGCCUUCGAUACUGCAUGGCUUGAGACCGGAAGAGGUAAGUGGAACUGCGAGUGUAGAGGUGAAAUUCGUAGAUAUUCGCAAGAACACCAGUGGCGAAGGCGGCUUACUGGUCCGGUUCUGACGCUGAGGCGCGAAAGCGUGGGGAGCGAACAGG
rnacentral:rRNA from 1 species